rnacentral:rRNA from 1 species
UACGUAGGGAGCAAGCGUUGUCCGGAAUCAUUGGGCGUAAAGCGCGCGUAGGUGGCCAUGUAAGUCCGCUGUGAAAGUCAAAGGCUCAACCUUUGAAAGCCGGUGGAUACUGCAUGGCUAGAGUACGGAAGAGGAGAGUGGAAUUCCUGGUGUAGCGGUGAAAUGCGCAGAUAUCAGGAAGAACACCCGUGGCGAAGGCGGCUCUCUGGGACGGUACUGACGCUGAGACGCGAAAGCGUGGGGAGCGAACAGG